CCCUUAGAUGUUCUGGGCCGCACGCGCGCUACACUGAUCAGUGCAACAAGCAUCCGUCCUUGGCCGACAGGCCCGGGCAAUCUUUGAACGCUGAUCGUGAUGGGGAUAGACUUUUGCAAUUUUUGGUCUUCAACGAGGAAUUCCUAGUAAACGCAAGUCAUCAACUUGCAUUGAUUACGUCCCUGCCCUUUGUACACACCGCCCGUCGCACCUACCGAUUGAAUGGUCCGGUGAAAUCUCGGGACGGCGGCUUGGUCGCUUGCGUCCGACUGCUGAAACUUGAUUAAACCAUAUCAUUUAGAGGAAGGUGAANUCGUAACA
rnacentral:rRNA from 1 species